GUCCUUUAUUGGUUCAUAAGUGUGAUGAUUGGGUUUUGAUGCUAUUGUGUGAGACAUGCCUCCUCUAAACCUUGUUAACAAUGUCAGCACAUUACCUGACUGACU